rnacentral:misc_RNA from 1 species
UCCGGUUUAUCACCGGCAGUCCCCGUAGAGUCCCCGCCAUUACGCGCUGGCAACUACGGGCAAGGGUUGCGCUCGUUGCGGGACUUAACCCAACAUCUCGCGACACGAGCUGACGACAGCCAUGCAGCACCUCGCUACCUGCCCGAAGGAAACCCCCUUUCAGGGGCUGUCAGGUAGCGUUCGAGCCUGGGUAAGGUUCUUCGCGUUGCAUCGAAUUAAGCCACAUGCUCCACCGCUUGUGCGGGCCCCCGUCAAUUCCUUUGAGUUUUAGCCUUGCGGCCGUAGUCCCCAGGCGGAAUGCUUAUCGCGUUAGCUGCGGCACAGGAGGGGUCGAUACCCCAUAUACCUAGCAUUCAUCGGUUAGGGCGUGGACUAC